UGCCUUAGUAGCGGCGAGUGAAGCGGCAAAAGCUCAAAUUUGAAAUCUGGCACUUUCAGUGUCCGAGUUGUAAUUUGAAGAAGGUAUCUUUGGGUCUGGCUCUUGUCUAUGUUUCUUGGAACAGAACGUCACAGAGGGUGAGAAUCCCGUGCGAUGAGAUGUCCCAGACCUAUGUAAAGUUCCUUCGAAGAGUCGAGUUGUUUGGGAAUGCAGCUCUAAGUGGGUGGUAAAUUCCAUCUAAAGCUAAAUAUUGGCGAGAGACCGAUAGCGAACAAGUACAGUGAUGGAAAGAUGAAAAGAACUUUGAAAAGAGAGUGAAAAAGUACGUGAAAUUGUUGAAAGGGAAGGGCUUGAGAUCAGACUUGGUAUUUUGUAUGUUACUCUCUCGGGGGUGGCCUCUACAGUUUACCGGGCCAGCAUCAGUUUGAGCGGUAGGAUAAGUGCAAAGAAAUGUGGCACUGCUUCGGUAGUGUGUUAUAGUCUUUGUCGAUACUGCCAGCUUAGACUGAGGACUGCGGCUUCGGCCUAGGAUGUUGGCAUAAUGAUCUUAAGUCGCCCGUCUUGAAC
rnacentral:rRNA from 1 species